rnacentral:misc_RNA from 1 species
UUCAUUCGGCUAACAUUCGAGUUCUUAAUUGUCUCUUCGAAAACAUGUUCGAAAUCGAUGAUUUGGAAUUUGAUGAGGAUCUGCUAAGAGAUAUUAAUGAAAAAGAAGAGACUUAUUUUUCCCAACAAAUUGUCGACGAUGAGUAUUCUGUUUCAAAGAAACCCAGGUUAGAGGAGAGGAUUAAUCCACCGACACUGCCUGAGAAUUGUUCUGCAUCAAAGAGAUUAGAAUCUUCGAACAGGAAUUUAAUUUUAGAAAACCUCAAGAAAAAUACAGUUAAUAGUCCUACAUCCGCUGCUGCAAAGUUAAAUUCGAAACCAGACUUUCCAUUGUCUGGUAAGGAGCUACUUCUAGACCGUUUAAAGAAGAUAAAGGAGAAAAGUACUAAUGAGAGAUCUGCCAAUAUUUCUAGCAUUAUAAAAAAUGUACAAACGAGACCAGAAAAAACUAAUUCCACUAAUGUAACGCCAAAGGUAAUCGAUGUUGCUAAACCAUUGACAUCUGAACAAGAAAUGAAUACACGACUUCAAAAUUCUAUGAUGAAAGAGGAAAAGCAAAAUUUAGGGGAUUCUAGAACAAAAAUGGUACUAGAUAGAUUUAAGCAACAUGCAGCAGGUACCUUUGAGAAACCAAAAUUUAAUCCACCUACAUCGUCGAUAUCAUCUCCAGCUAAGCAGAAUUAUGGAGUGAAGAAAUUUGCUCUAAACCGAAAAUUUCCUGGGCCAGCGGGACUGCUGCCUGAUAAUGUGACAGAAAUUAUUAACAUAAAGUUAUAUGAAGGUCUCGACGAAGGUGAAGAAAAGCAGAAUGAAUCUGCAGUCUCGGAGUAUUGUUCUCAACGUACAAAGUGUUUGUUCUCCGAAGGAGCGUGGCAGCGAAUGUUAAAUGACUUAGAGCCUGGUUCUUUGGAAGGCUUUGAAAUUAAUAAUAUAAAAGAAAAUGCUAUAAAUAAUUCUGUUAGGAGUACAAAAAUUCCUAUCCUGGCAGGAAUUAUUGAAGCCGUAGAUUACAGUUUUCAAGAUCCAAAAGUGGUAUUAAAGGAUUUUACUGGGUCAAUCGAAGCUACUCUACACCGGGACAUACUCACAGAGUAUCCAAAUGGUCUUGAAGUUGGCAUAGUCCUUUUACUAAAAAAUGCAGGCCUAUUAGUGACACCUGGUUUGAUAAACAAGGACUUCUACAUUCUAGUCACAACGGAAAAUAUUGCAGGAGUUUACACUAAUAAAGAGAAGAAGUUAUCCUUGUCGCAGCGAGAGACUGGCAAGUUCGACGAAGAAAAUGCAGAUACAGAAGAUAACGAUUUAUCUCUGAACACAUCCAGAGGGAAUUCAUUUAAUAAAAGGAAUUCGCGAAAUAAUUCUUUCGAAGAUAGUUUAAAUCUUAGCCAUUCUAAAAUUAAUCCACAUGAAGAAACCAGCUCAAAGAAUAAAUCAGAGACAGAUGACUCUGACUCCGACGAUGGAUUUAGUUCAGAUGGUGAAAGGACGAACUGUAUUUCCAAAGACAAAAAAUACUUUAAAGAGAAGGAUCCAAGUUUAUUAGAAAGACUAGAAAAAUUUGGAAGAAGAGUAAAGCACGAUAGAGAUAAGGAAGUGUUGAAUAAGACUGAGUCAAAGCAUUGUGCAGUUCCUAGUACUUCAAAUGAUUUCCUUGAAGAUCGGACAAGAAUGGAGAGCUCUGAUAAGGUGAAAAUCUCGGAUGAAGAAAAAAGUUCAAAAAAUCGAAUCGAAUCGAAGAGUUUCGAUUCCGAUGACGACUGUUUCUCUCUUUUGAAUGAUUCCAUACUAGGUGACAAAUCAAAUAGAAUUAAUGGUAAUUCCGAAAGUGAUGCUGAAUUUAAAAGCCCCAAUUUACAAGAUACUCUACAGAGAUUUUCUAGAACACCCAAGAGUCUUAAGAAAUUAACUCGAACAAUAGAGUGUGUAGAAUCAGAAAGAAACAACAAGAAUCAAGAGUCGUCCAUACAAAAAAAGACAAUUCAGAGAGAGUUGACUGUACCUAAAAAUGUAAAUAUUGCUCAAAAUAUGAAUGAUGCCAAAGAAGAAAAGAAUUUAAAAUCUCCUGGCAAUAGUCUGAGGAAGGAAACAAACUCAGAAAUUACACAAAAUAGAGUGCAGGAACAAAAUGUUGAAAAGAAGGCAGAGUCGAAGCAGCUCUCUUCGUUGAGAGCAAAACUAUUACAAUUUAAAAGCAAUGAUGUAUUGACUCCCCCAGACCGCGAUCAAACCACUACAAUUAAUUCAAAUGAAUAUCUACAACUUAGAGAUUCUACUGCUGAAACUUCAUCUAACAAAUUCCAUUCAGCUUUUGAAGACGACUUAUUAAAGGACAGUGAAGACUCGGAUGACGAGCUGAUGUCUCAGUUGGAUUUGGACUCCAUUAUGUCAAAUUACAACCAACGUAUUGACAACGAUACAUGAAAUAAGAAUUCCUCUAUACAGCAAGGCUGGCACUUUUAAAGCGCUGUUUAUAUUAUAAAAUAGGUAGAGCUUUCUUACGGAGUUAAAUAGAGAAAGCUCAUUUUCUUGUGAUAUUGCUGCAGAGGAAUCGGUCUUGCAAUCAGUGGAUGAAAUCAGAUUAAAAACGAAAGCUUACAGUGCCUUAAAAACACUAUUUUACUACCUAUAAAUACUGUAAAAUAAUUUUGCCAAGACGAAGCUGGACCUUCUGACAAAAUGGCGAACGAUUUGCCCGCUCUGUUCUUUUCCAUCCAUCGGAUCGGUCACCACCUUGCCAAAUCUUAACUAGCGAACGGCUAAUCGACAAAUUCAACACCGACAGGAUAAUCCUUAGAAAAAUGUCGGCCGUGUUAAUUAUUACGAUCGACAAUGACCUACUCGUAUUUUCUUUCGGUAAGAUUCUUCAAAUUGUCACAUUUUAUCGCAAUUACAUCAGAGAGUACUUGCCCCGUGCUAGUUAAUCUCGGAAGCGCUCGAAUUAACGGCCGGUCGAUAAACGAUGUUUCCCGCCGCGACCGGCUCCUAAACUUGUACUUUUCCACGAGAAAAGAAAACAGGUUCUACAGGAUGUCAGAAUUUUUCUGCGAUUGCUCGUAAAUCUAAGCGCACGGUUAAUGCCUCGAAAUGUUGCCAGGAAUUACGAGAGUCUUUCUGGGUGGCGAUGGCGAUAAUCAAUUUUGCACGUAACAUUCAUGAUUUACCGCCGAGGCUCGGCGUGAUAGCUUCCCUUUUCCAUCUCGUUUUCUCUUUGAUACUCGACACCGAUUUCCCGGAUAGGAUAAAUUUGAUAGCGCUAUUUAUUCUUCCCUGUGCAUAGUCGCUCUUUAGUGGCUCGCUGAAAUUAAGCAGCACCAUCCUUGCGCGUUAGGGAACCUUUAGAAAUUUCCGAAAACGUCUCCUUCAUAAGCUGGAAUGGGCACCAAAUUUAGAGUUAAAUGAAGAUGGAAUAAAUUUUGGAGAAUGAAUUUUUUGGCGGCUUCCCGAGGGCAGGGGAGGCGUGCAUGAAUGAUUUAAAUACCCGAUAGCCCCUUUUGAUACGAACAAAUUGCGGUUUAUAGCGGUCAGAUGUCCCCCGGUCUGCAGGGUAUACCAAGGUUGAUGCAAUAGAUGUCCAUUGGCGUAGUCGUUUGCCGAAUCCGGUAAUAUCCAACCUCGAUAGAUUCGAUCCACUGCAUCUACGCCGGUGCGUUAUCAUAGCCUAAUCCAGGCCAAUAUCAGGGAAAUCGGGAACGUGAAUUACUAGGUAAUAAUAAUCUCCUGUUGUCGAGACGCGAGGCUGAAACGCGUGAGCGCGAAUAAAAACUAAAAGUUGAAUUACCACUUAAUAUCAACGCUUGGUAAUUAAUUUCUCUCGCAAAACUGCGUCAUAACAUUGUAAAUAAUUAUUUAAUAAAGGAUAAUUAUUUUGUAACUUCAUUGGGUGCGAUCGUUAAAAGAGGAUGUAGAGUUAACCCAGCCCUGAACGAUUUUUCCUAAUAAGUCGCCACUGGGAUAAUAGCCAUAUUUUAAGUGCAUGUCAAUUAAGUUUCGAAUUGUAUGAAUUAUUCAAACGAAACGUAUGAAAAAUUGUCGGAUUUGCGAGGAAUAUUUUGCCUCUGCCGAGUAAGCGGAGCAAACUUUCCAUUGAAUGAGUAUCUGGUCGCAAAAUAUGUCGAAUGUCCGAUUUCUUAAUGAGCCUUGAGUAGACUGCCCAGCCUUCUAACACUCGGA